UACGUAGGGUGCAAGCGUUGUCCGGAAUCAUUGGGCGUAAAGCGCGUGUAGGCGGUUCGGUAAGUCCGCUGUGAAAGUCGGGGGCUCAACCCUCGGAUGCCGGUGGAUACUGUCGGACUAGAGUACGGAAGAGGCGAGUGGAAUUCCUGGUGUAGCGGUGAAAUGCGCAGAUAUCAGGAGGAACACCAAUUGCGAAGGCAGCUCGCUGGGACGUUACUGACGCUGAGACGCGAAAGCGUGGGGAGCAAACAGG
rnacentral:rRNA from 1 species